UACAGAGGUCUCAAGCGUUGUUCGGAUUCAUUGGGCGUAAAGGGCGCGUAGGCGGCCACUGCAAGUCAGUUGUGAAAUCUCCGGGCUUAACCCGGAAAGGUCAACUGAUACUGCAGGGCUAGAGUGCAGAAGGGGCAACUGGAAUUCUCGGUGUAGCGGUGAAAUGCGUAGAUAUCGAGAGGAACACCUGCGGCGAAGGCGGGUUGCUGGGCUGACACUGACGCUGAGGAGCGAAAGCAUGGGGAGCGAACAGG
rnacentral:rRNA from 1 species